rnacentral:rRNA from 1 species
GACGAACGCUGGCGGCGUGCCUAAUACAUGCAAGUCGAACGCACUCUCGUUAGAUUGAAGAAGCUUGCUUCUGAUUGAUAACAUUUGAGUGAGUGGCGGACGGGUGAGUAACACGUGGGUAACCUGCCCUAAAGUGGGGGAUAACAUUUGGAAACAGAUGCUAAUACCGCAUAAAACCUAGCACCGCAUGGUGCAAGGUUGAAAGAUGGUUUCGGCUAUCACUUUAGGAUGGACCCGCGGUGCAUUAGUUAGUUGGUGAGGUAAAGGCUCACCAAGACCGGGAUGCAUAGCCGACCUGAGAGGGUAAUCGGCCACACUGGGACUGAGACACGGCCCAGACUCCUACGGGAGGCAGCAGUAGGGAAUCUUCCACAAAGGACGAAAGUCUGAUGGAGCAACGCCGCGUGAGUGAAGAAGGUUUUCGGAUCGUAAAACUCUGUUGUUGGAGAAGAACGUAUUUGAUAGUAACUGAUCAGGUAGUGACGGUAUCCAACCAGAAAGCCACGGCUAACUACGUG